rnacentral:tRNA from 1 species
GUAGAGUGGCCGAGGUUAGGCAGCGAGUUGUAGCCUCGUCUACAGUGGUUAAUCGCUCACUAUCACC